AUUUAUGGAGAGUUUGAUCCUGGCUCAGAGUGAACGCUGGCGGCGUGCUUAACACAUGCAAGUCGAACGAGAACGGAUUAUAGCUUGCUAUAAUUGUCAGCUAAGUGGCGCACGGGUGAGUAAUGUAUAGGUAAUA
rnacentral:rRNA from 1 species